CGGUGGCAAUAGCGGAGGGGAAACACCUGUUCCCAUUCCGAACACAGAAGUUAAGCCCUCCAGCGCCGAUGGUACUGCACUGGCAACGGUGCGGGAGAGUAGGUCGCUGCCGGAA
rnacentral:rRNA from 1 species